rnacentral:rRNA from 1 species
CAAACUUGGUCAUUNARAGGAAGUAAAAGUCGUAACAAGG